rnacentral:tRNA from 1 species
GCGUGGGUAGUAUAGUGGUUAUUAUUCGACGUUGCCAACGUUGGGGCCCGGGUUCGAUCCCCGGCCCGCGCA